rnacentral:rRNA from 1 species
GGGUUGUGAGGUUAAGCGACUAAGCGUACACGGUGGAUGCCCUGGCAGUCAGAGGCGAUGAAGGGCGUGCUAAUCUGCGAUAAGCGCCGGUAAGGUGAUAUGAACCGUUAUAACCGGCGAUACCCGAAUGGGGAAACCCAGUGUGACUCGUCACACUAUCAUUAACUGAAUCCAUAGGUUAAUGAGGCGAACCGGGGGAACUGAAACAUCUAAGUACCCCGAGGAAAAGAAAUCAACCGAGAUUCCCCCAGUAGCGGCGAGCGAACGGGGAGGAGCCCAGAGCCUGAAUCAGCAUGUGUGUUAGUGGAAGCGUCUGGAAAGGCGCGCGAUACAGGGUGACAGCCCCGUACACAAAAGCGCAUGUGCUGUGAGCUCGAUGAGUAGGGCGGGACACGUGGUAUCCUGUCUGAAUAUGGGGGGYSRUCCUCCAAGGCUAAAUACUCCUGACUGACCGAUAGU